GGGGAGCACUUCGAAGGUGACCGCAGUGAUAUUCAGCAAUGAGGAGUUGAGAGAGAGAAAGAACCACCUGCUGCGAUCCUGUGGAGCUCAGCUUGGCCUUGGUUGAAUGCCGACCACUCCCACCCCCCCACAAGGAAGUCUCCAUGAGGCUGUGCGGUAUUACAAGCCUAGUGCACUUGAGACCCAGCUGGAGGGCCCAAGGACGCACAGAGCCCAGCCUGGAUACAUCUGGGCCCUCCGAGCCGCUGCAAGGGCAGCCCAGGGCACAGUCUCCAGGAGUACACCCUUUGACACUAAGCAGAUUGAGCAUAUAAUUUAUUGUUCAAUGCAGGACACUCCUGAGAGUGAACUGGAAAUUAUGCUGGUACGAUUCCAGAGCAGCAGGCUGGAUGUUCACCCUGGACAAUCUAUUAGGUUCUGUGCUCAAACCUUCCUAAGAGUAGACAAAAUAGUUUUCUAAACAUAAGAACUUGCUAAAACUCAAAGUAGCUUAGGGCCAAGAUGGCUUUAUUUUAAACGCCAAUUGUGUUGUUGAAGAAAAGAGUAUGUUCUCGCCCCAUUUUGUCGAUGGUCCGGGGCUGCUUGGGGAAUUGUGCCGAAGAUGUGUACGCUCCCGGGCCUGGGGUUUUCUGAAAACAGAACAGAAAAUAGGAAUUGAUGAGAACGUGAUGCCAAAACCCUGAAGCAUCCUGAGUCUCGCUGUUGGCUCAGACGUGGCUGGCAAAUCCCAGCGGAGGGAGAUAAAGGCCAUACCAGCUUGGGCUGAAGCCUGAGGCACCGUUGCAUUGGCGCAUGUCCUUGGAGCUGAGGCCAGCUCCUGUAAACAGCUCCCCGCAAGGCUGCGGAGGUGCUGAGAGACGGGACAAGCAAGUGACAGGCCGAGACCUGCGGGGGAGGCAGCUUACAUGUCACCUGCACCUCGAGGCACAUUUUCUCCUAACGGGCUCUCAGGCAGUUCUUGUCCCUGGAAAUGCCAUUGUCCUCCCCUCUAGUGACCUCAGUCUAAUGUUUGUUAUCUCUUCAGGAGACAGUGAGAGUGGAAAUUGGAUUACCCUGAGAGUGGGACAGAGAGUCAGCCCAGCGUGGAUGAGGUCAGCUGCCCGCAGAAGCUGCUUAAAUGCCA